rnacentral:rRNA from 1 species
GAUGAACGCUAGCUACAGGCUUAACACAUGCAAGUCGAGGGGCAGCACUAGGUAGCAAUACUGAGGUGGCGACCGGCGCACGGGUGCGUAACGCGUAUCCAACCUUCCCGAUACUCUUGGAUAGCCUUCCGAAAGGGAGAUUAAUACAAGAUGGUGUUUCAAUUCCGCAUGUUAUUGAAACUAAAGAAUUUCGGAAACGGAUAGGCUCGCGUGACAUUAGCUAGAUGGCGGGGUAACGGCCCACCAUGGCAACGAUGUCUAGGGGUUCUGAGAGGAAGGUCCCCCACACUGGAACUGAGACACGGUCCAGACUCCUACGGGAGGCAGCAGUGAGGAAUAUUGGUCAAUGGUCUGACGACUGAACCAGCCAUGCCGCGUGAAGGUGACGGCCCUAUGGGUCUUAAACUUCUUUUGUAAGGGNGCAAUAAGUUCUACGUGUAGGAUGAUGAGAGUACCUUACGAAUAAGCAUCGGCUAACUCCGUG